GGUAGCAUGGCAUAGUGGUUUGAGUGUUGGACUAUGACUCUGGAAACCAGGGUUCGAUUUCCUGCUUGGUCA